AUCGGCUCUGUCUAGGCAGCGGGCAAGGUGAACCCACUGGGCAGUUACAGAAUUGCCAUUAUAUUGCUUGCAAUUUUAUAUCUUAUUACGCAAAAUAGCUAUAACCUUGUAUACAAGGUUAAAUGCGAAUGUGCUCCUUGCCUGGUCAGAUCCCAGCGCAAGAAGGACGCACCCCCUAUAAACCGCUAGGCCAAAACGGUCAUUCUGGCCACAUCCAGCCUCACGUGAGAUCGCAAUCUCCUGUCACUCAGGGCCUGAGGGGGCGGGGCCUGAAGCCCCAGACAAUCAGGGACGCUGGAGUGGGGACCCGUCAAUCAGGCGCGCCGCGGGAAAGGAGAGGGCGGCUUCCGGGAUCCGGCUGGCGGGCGCUUUGUCUCGCCUUCGCCACCGUAGGCUCUUCCUGUGAGUCUCCGCUGCUACUUCCUGGCUCUGGGAGGCCCAGGUGGCUCAGCAGCAGCCUCGGCCACCCUGUGACCUGCGGGUGUUGGGACAUCCCUAGCUGACGCCGGGACACCCGGGAAGCCGAGGAACGGACUCCGUGGCUUUUGAGGAUGUGGCUGUGAACUUUAGCCAGCAGGAAUGGGCUUUGCUAGAUUCUUCUCAGAAGAAUCUCUACAGAGAAGUGAUGCAGGAAACCUACAGGAACCUGGCUUCUGUAGGAAAAAACGGAAAGACCAGAAUAUUGAAGAUCACUUCAAAAAACUUGGGAAAGAUACAAGAUAAUUUGCACUGAGAAGAGGAAAUAAAGUCCUCUGAAGGAAUCUUAGCAUGUCAUGAAUUUAAAAACAAGCAGUCAAAGCAAAUAAGAGUCACUUGAAAUUCAUUUCCUUUUAGAAAAAUUUCGCCCAAAAUGUAACGUACAUCAGUGUAGCAGUCAGUGUUUGGAAAACAAUUUACUUGAAAAUAGUACUACAAAAUUGUGUAUAUGAAUGUUACUAUUUUGGUCAUAGCCAUGCAGGUGGUAGCUGUGUUUUCAGUAGUAGCCCAUUUACUUUCAAAUAAUUCAGUCAUGGCAUAAAAACAAAAACAAAACAAAACAAAAAUGUAUUUUCCCUAGUAUUGGUAGCAGUGUAAGUCGAAGACCUAUGAAUGAGUAGAAAGUUAUUAAACCAACCAAUAAUAAUGUGCUUGUCAUUUUUUU